AACGAACGCUGGCGGCAUGCCUAACACAUGCAAGUCGAACGAAGCCUUCGGGCUUAGUGGCGCACGGGUGCGUAACGCGUGGGAAUCUGCCCUUGGGUUCGGAAUAACAGUUAGAAAUGACUGCUAAUACCGGAUGAUGACUUCGGUCCAAAGAUUUAUCGCCCAGGGAUGAGCCCGCGUAGGAUUAGGUAGUUGGUGGGGUAAAGGCCCACAAGCCGACGAUCCUUAGCUGGUCUGAGAGGAUGAUCAGCCACACUGGGACUGAGACACGGCCCAGACUCCUACGGGAGGCAGCAGUGGGGAAUAUUGGACAAUGGGCGAAAGCCUGAUCCAGCAAUGCCGCGUGAGUGAUGAAGGCCUUAGGGUCGUAAAGCUCUUUUACCAGGGAUGAUAAUGACAGUACCUGGAGAAUAAGCUCCGGCUAACUCCGUG
rnacentral:rRNA from 1 species